ACAUGUUGUGAGCUUUGAAGUUGGUGUUUAGUGAGUGAGUGAUAAAUCUAUUUUUUCCCCUACAAAAUGUUGAUUCUAAUAAUAAUGUAAUUAUUAUAGUAAGCAUUCUCACAUGCAUUCAACAUUUAGCUCACACAAGUUCACUGAAGAUCUCACAGACACACAGACAAGUUCAUUGACAGAAAAUUUCACAUUGUGAUAGUUCAUGAGAGGACCAGCUCGUCCUUAGCAUCUGAUCAC